AAACUGGAGCUCGGCUGCUGCAGCAGCAGCUGCAGCAGCAGCUUCAACUGCUGCAGCAGCAGCUGCAGCUGCUGCUGCAGCUGCUGCAGCUGCUGCUGCAGCAGCUGCAGCUGCUGCAGCAGCAGCAGCAACUGCUGCAGCAGCUGCAGCUGCUGCAGCAGCAGCAGCAACUGCUGCAGUUGCUGCUGCAGCCGCAGCAGCUGCAGCAGCAGCUGCUGCUGCUGCCGCAGCAGCACAUGCUCUCAGAUGCGAACCUGAUCCCUGCGGCU
rnacentral:sRNA from 1 species